UACGUAGGGUGCAGGCGUUAAUCGGAAUUACUGGGCGUAAAGCGUGCGUAGGCGGUUUGUUAAGACAGGUGUGAAAUCCCCGGGCUUAACCUGGGAACUGCGCUUGUUACUGGCAGACUGGAGUGUGGCAGAGGGGGGUGGAAUUCCAGGUGUAGCAGUGAAAUGCGUAGAUAUCUGGAGGAACACCGAUGGCGAAGGCAGCCCCCUGGGCUAACACUGACGCUGAUGCACGAAAGCGUGGGGAUCAAACAGG
rnacentral:rRNA from 1 species